CAGAGGGACUACUGUUGUCGUUUCUCCACCCUUCCUUUGUUGUCGUCGUUCUGAACGUUGCCUGUUCCCAAGACAAGUAUUCAGUUUCCACCCAGACGGCGAGUUCCCAGGAUCCAUCCCUUGUAGGUUCAAGGGGCAUGUUUGAGCCAGCGAUUGAACAAGCCCGUUCAAAGGGUUUAGAAUGGGGGCCAUGAAUAUGCAGGAGCAGUGACGCUAAGAUGGUCAGUCCAGCAGCAAAUCUUGCCGUUUUCAGAUGAGAUUGCUACGUAAGCCAUCAAACAAGAAAAAGAACCGCCAACAGGGGGAGUGCAAGCAAGCAUGGUGCUUUACAAAAACACAUAACAAGAUGCAUUUACAGUCCUGCUCCUGCAAUGGGACUACUCAGGCAAUUACAAAUGUAAGUGUUACAGAGACAAGGUGGGUGAGGUAGUAUCUUUUAUUUGCCCAACUUCUGGUGGGGAGAGAGGCAAGCACUCUUGCAGCAGUCACUCCAAAGACAUAAUAGGAGUUUGUGUGAAUGCAGGGGCCCAGGUGAAUCGUGCAGGAUCACAGCCUAUUGUAGACACAUCAG